GUCUAUGGCUGGACCACCCUAAAUGUGCCUGAUCUCAGAAGCUAAGCAGGGUUGGCCUGGUCAAUUCUUGGAUGGGAGACUGCCCAGGAGACCUGGUGCUAUCAACU
ensembl:rRNA 5S_rRNA 5S ribosomal RNA